rnacentral:lncRNA from 1 species
GGAUCUAAUGCUAAGUUUAGAAAGAAAAGAUAUGAGUGUCAAUUUCUAACUUCUUUAUUAAAGAUUUUACAGAAAACGGAAAGUAUUUCAAAAACUAAUCGUCAGACGUCUACAAAAGGCCAGGUUUUACGUAAGAAGAAGAAAAAAGUUUCAGGUACUCUUGACACUCCUGAGAAGACUGUGGAUAGCCAGGGCCCCACACCAGUUUGUACACCAACAUUUUUGGAGAGGCGAAAAUCUCAAGUGGCUGAACUGAAUGAUGAUGAUAAAGAUGAUGAAAUAGUUUUCAAACAGCCCAUAUCCUGUGUAAAAGAAGAAAUACAAGAGACUCAAACACCUACACAUUCACGGAAAAAAAGACGAAGAAGCAGCAA